rnacentral:rRNA from 1 species
GACGAACGCUGGCGGCGUGCCUAAUACAUGCAAGUAGAACGCACAGUUUAUACCGUAGCUUGCUACACCAUAGACUGUGAGUUGCGAACGGGUGAGUAACGCGUAGGUAACCUGCCUGGUAGCGGGGGAUAACUAUUGGAAACGAUAGCUAAUACCGCAUAAUAUUAAUUAUUGCAUGAUAAUUAAUUGAAAGGUGCAAUUGCACCACUACCAGAUGGACCUGCGUUGUAUUAGCUAGUAGGUGAGGUAACGGCUCACCUAGGCGACGAUACAUAGCCGACCUGAGAGGGUGAUCGGCCACACUGGGACUGGGACACGGCCCAGACUCCUACGGGAGGCAGCAGUAGGGAAUCUUCGGCAAUGGACGAAAGUCUGACCGAGCAACGCCGCGUGAGUGAAGAAGGUUUUCGGAUCGUAAAGCUCUGUUGUAAGAGAAGAACGGGUGUGAGAGUGGAAAGUUCACACUGUGACGGUAUCUUACCAGAAAGGGACGGCUAGCUACGUG